AAUAGAUACCCUGGUAGUCCACCCCGUAAACGUUGGGAACUAGUUGUGGGGUCCAUUCCACGGAUUCCGUGACGCAGCUAACGCAUUAAGUUCCCCGCCUGGGGAGUACGGCCGCAAGGCUAAAACUCAAAGGAAUUGACGGGGACCCGCACAAGCGGCGGAGCAUGCGGAUUAAUUCGAUGCAACGCGAAGAACCUUACCAAGGCUUGACAUAUACGAGAACGCUGCAGAAAUGUAGAACUCUUUGGACACUCGUAAACAGGUGGUGCAUGGUUGUCGUCAGCUCGUGUCGUGAGAUGUUGGGUUAAGUCCCGCAACGAGCGCAACCCUCGUUCUAUGUUGCCAGCACGUAAUGGUGGGAACUCAUGGGAUACUGCCGGGGUCAACUCGGAGGAAGGUGGGGAUGACGUCAAAUCAUCAUGCCCCUUAUGUCUUGGGCUUCACGCAUGCUACAAUGGCCGGUACAAAGGGCUGCAAUACCGUAAGGUGGAGCGAAUCCCAAAAAGCCGGUCCAGUUCGGAUUGAGGUCUGCAACUCGA
rnacentral:rRNA from 1 species